GGGCCGUUAGCUCAGUUGGUAGAGCACCUGACUUUUAAUCAGGGUGUCACAGGUUCGAGACCUGUACGGCCUA
rnacentral:tRNA from 3 species